rnacentral:misc_RNA from 1 species
GAAAUGCGAUAAGUAGUGUGAAUUGCAGAAUUCAGUGAAUCAUCGAAUCUUUGAACGCACAUUGCGCCCCUUGGUAUUCCAUGGGGCAUGCCUGUUCGAGCGUCAUUUGUACUCUCAAGCUAUGCUUGGUGUUGGGUGUUUGUCUCUGCUUUAUGUUUAGACUCGCCUUAAAUAUAUUGGCAGCCGAUAAUUGGUUUGAAGCGCAGCACAAUUUGCGAUUUAGGCCUCUAAUAUCAGCCUCCAUAAAGUAUAAUUAACACUUUUGACCUCGGAUCAGGUAGGGAUACCCGCUGAACUUAA